rnacentral:rRNA from 1 species
UACAGAGGGUGCGAGCGUUAAUCGGAAUUACUGGGCGUAAAGCGUGCGUAGACGGUUAUUUAGGUCGGGUGUGAAAGCCCCGGGCUCAACCUGGGAAUUGCAUUCGAGACUGAAUAGCUAGGGUACGGUAGAGGGAAGCGGAAUUUCCGGUGUAGCGGUGAAAUGCGUAGAUAUCGGAAGGAACAUCAGUGGCGAAAGCGGCUUCCUGGACCAGUACCGACGUUCAGGCACGAAAGCGUGGGGAGCAAACAGG